CUACGGGUUGCAGCAGUUAAGAAUAAUCUACAAUGCGCGCAAGCGUGAUAGUUUGAGCCAAAGUGCGUUUCAAAUUGAAAUGCUUUUGUGGAAUGCAAAAAGUUCCACGAAUAAGGACUGGGUAAGACGAGUGCCAGCCGCCGCGGUAAUACUCGCGGUCCAAGUCGCAGCCAUUUUUAUUGGGUCUAAAACAUCCGUAGCUUGCUUGAUAAGUCUCCUGUGAAAUUUCGCAUCUUAAGUGCGAAGCGGGCAGGAGGUACUAUCAGGCUAGAGACUGGGAGACGUAAGAAGUACAUUCAGAGUAGCGGUUAAAUGUGUUAAUCCUGGAUGGACUCACAAUAGCGAAGGCAUCUUACGAGAACAGUUCUGACAGUAAGGGAUGAAGGCUAGGGGCGCAAAUGGGAUUAGAUACCCUCGUAGUC
rnacentral:rRNA from 1 species